rnacentral:rRNA from 1 species
UACGUAGGGGGCUAGCGUUGUCCGGAAUCAUUGGGCGUAAAGCGCGCGUAGGCGGCCAGAUAAGUCCGGUGUGAAAGCCACAGGCUCAACCUGUGAAUGCCGCUGGAAACUGUCUGGCUAGAGUCCGGGAGGGGCGAGUGGAAUUCCUGGUGUAGCGGUGAAAUGCGCAGAUAUCAGGAGGAACACCUAUUGCGAAGGCAGCUCGCUGGGACGUAACUGACGCUGAGACGCGAAAGCGUGGGGAGCAAACAGG